rnacentral:rRNA from 1 species
GAUGAACGUUGGCGGCGUGCCUAAUACAUAGCAAGUCGAACGGAGACGGUAGCAAUACGGUCUCAGUGGCGAACGGGUGAGUAACGCGUUGGUGACCUGCCCCGAAGUGUGGAAUAACAGAUCGAAAGAGCUGCUAAUACCGCAUAAUAUCCAGAGGAUUAGAUGCCUUUGGAUUAAAGGAUUUAUUCGCUUCGGGAGGGGCCUGCGUCCCAUCAGCUAGUUGGUAAGGUAAUGGCUUACCAAGGCGAUGACGGGUAGGGGACCUGAGAGGGUGGCCCCCCACAAUGGAACUGAAACACGGUCCAUACACCUACGGGUGGCAGCAGUAGGGAAUAUUAGUAAUGGGCGAAAGCCUGAACUAGCAACGCCGCGUGUGCGAAGAAGGCCUUCGGGUUGUAAAGCACUUUUUGAGAGGAUGAGGAAGGACGGUACUCUCAGAAUAAGUCUCGGCUAACUACGUG